GGGAAGGAAAGGCCAGAAGUGACUCCUGCCGUAGCUGCGGCAGGCCUGGAGGCCGUACUGGGACCUGGCCAAAGACCCAGAAGUCCAGCUUUGAAGAAAACCUGGAGAAAGAGAGAGUCACAAAUCAUCUCCAUACUGCAGGAGAUGCAGAAAUGGCAGAAGGUACUUGGAUCAGGUGUAAAUAAAUAACGAUAUACCUUGCUUGUUGACCUGGGACUCAGCAAUGUCAGCCCGUUCCUCGGCCUCCUCCAGCUCGUGCUGGAUCCUGCGGAAUUUGGAGAGGUUGACGUUGGAUUGUUCCUCCUGUGAAUGGAAAUCCAUUUAUGAGGGAAGAAAGUUCAGAAUUUUUCCAUUCUUAGGGCGGCACAGGCAGCAUUUGUCCUCUCAACAUCAAUCAUGAGGUCCUCAACUUCAUUCUGGAGCCUCUGCUUCGUCUUCUCAAGGGAAGCACAUUUGGCAUUCACAGCUUCUACAUGUUCCUCAGCAUCCUGCAGACGCUGAGCCAGCUUCUUCCUAUGAAAUAUGGGCAAUAAAAGUGAAUGGCUGUCAACUGAAUUGGGUGUUUCAAAGUGGGUACAAGAGAGUGAAUUCCACAAUCAGACUUCUUUAAUACUUUGCUUCUCAAGCUUGUUUUGUAGGUCCAGUUCUAUAUUAACUCAUUCCCAUUAUCCUACCACCAAAUACCAAAAACAACCCCAGUUUUGGUAUUGCCAUACUUCAUAGAGUGGCUUUAAGGCCAUCCAUGACAAGCAUGAGCUAACACUUUACCCUUCCAGGUAGCUGGUUUAUUCCUCUUCUGUAGAAUAUUAAUAUCUACCUUGAAUUACUGGUUUGUUUUUCUGUGUCUCCACAUAAUUUUAAUCCCCAGAGGGAGAGUCUGUACUGUACUAAUCUUUGUAUUCUUGUAGGCUGUCCAACAUAUUAAGGGCUCAAAUGUUGGAUAAAUUGAAUUCAAAUGAAAUAUACUUGAUUUUGUCUGUCUAAUUGUAUCCCUUAUUUGUGCUAGUUUUUAAUUAAUCCAUUAAUAAUAAAGAAGCUUUCCCAC
rnacentral:lncRNA from 1 species